GUGAUGCCAAGAGAAGAGGUAGGCACCAGAACAGGCUGCUGGACUGGAGACUCCACCACCAGGUGCCGUUGUCAUUCCUGACCUCCCCAGGUUGCGGCGUUGGACGUGCCCUGAUCCUUGGAAAGGGGUAAGAGAGCUGUAUUUCAUUAUCAGAAGGUGAUCUCUACUUACCUUGUCUUGUGUCCAUCAGGAGGCAGUGGAGAGUUGUGACCCUCCCGAGUGCUGCAAAGGCUCUACUGAGGCAUUUGGUGGACACAGCAGGAACCUGCACGCACAGAUGGAUGCCAAGAUCCGCUCCUUCCUCUGUCUGGCAAGCUCUGCUGACCCCUGAGGCUGCCAACUGAUCCCUCUCGUGUCUGCAGUAACCCGAAUGUAGUCUAGUAAGGUUUGCUCAAGUGAGAUGGAAAAUGAAGAGGUAGGCUCCAAAACAGACUUGCGUAUUGGAGACUUACCCACCACAUGGUGAUGCCUUCCCUGACCUCCUUGAUUGCAGUGUGGGGAUGUGCCCUGAUCCUUGGAAAGGGGUGAGUGAUUCCUUCAUCCUUACUAGAAGGUAAUCUCUACUUACCUUUUCUUGUGUCCAGCAGGUGGCACUGGAGAGUUGUGACCCUGCUGAGCAGUGCAAGGACUCUACUGAGGCUCUUGGUGGACACAGCGAGAACCCACACCCAUAGGUGGAUGCCAAUAUCUAUUCCUUCCUGUCUGGCAAGCUCUGUUGUCCCCUGAGGUCGUUCCCGUGCUUGCCGA